UAAUUGAUAUUUAAUUUCCUGUAGGCUGUCCUGGCAAAUGUUAAUCAAGUGACAGAAAAUUCCUUACAAAUUUUAAUGUAUUAAUAACUGAAAUUA
rnacentral:snoRNA from 1 species